UAGACGGGGAUCCGCACAAGCGGUGGACCAUGUGGUUCAAUUCGAUAGUAAGCGAAGAACCUCACCAGGGUUAGAAAUCCGGCUGCACACCUCCCGAAAGGGGGGAGCCUUCGAGGGUGCCGGACAGGUAUUGCACGGCCGUCGUCAGCUCGUUCCGUGGGGAGUUCCAUUAAGUUGGGAAACGAGCGCAACCCCUAUUGCGUGUUACAAGUGUCACGCGAGACUGCCCAGCCCCAAGGUUGGUAGUUGGUUAUUGGUUAUUAGUUUUUGGUUAAAAUUUUAAAACCAAUUACUAACUACUAGUUACCAACUACUAAUUUUUGGGCUGGGAGGAAGGUGGGGAUGACGUCAGGUCAGCGUGGUCCUCUGAUACCCUGGGCUACACACGUGGUACAAUGGACGGUACAAUGGGUCGCCAAGUCGCAAGACGGAGCCAAUCCCACCAAAGCCGUCCUCAGUUCGGAUAAGAGGCUGCAACUUGCCUCUUUGAAGCUGGAAUCGCUAGUAAUCGCAGAUCAGAACGCUGCGGUGAAUACGUUCUCGGAUCUUGUACUCGGGUCGCUAUGCGAUCCGAUAAAAAAGCAGGUGUAAAUCCUGCGAUAAGAACAUAG
rfam:Candidatus Yanofskybacteria bacterium RIFCSPHIGHO2_02_FTLL_43_15c rifcsphigho2_02_scaffold_21764, whole genome shotgun sequence.